UAUGCAAAGUAUUUUGCUUUUGCUAAGUGUUUAAUAAUAAAAAGAACUAAGCCUUGUAUAAUACUUCUGUUCCAAGCAUUGUUUUAAAUGUUUUACAUUUAUUAACUCAUUUGUUCCUCAAACAACACAAUGAACUAGGCACCAUUCUCCCCCAUUUUGCAGAUGAGGACACUAAGGCACAGAAGGGUUAAUUAUCUUUUCAAGGACACAGAGCUGGCAAGAGGAUGCUUUUACUUGGAGAAUUGCCCCUCCCCCUAACUGUCCCAGAGGCACUGUCAGUCACAUGGCCACCAGCUUCCCUACUGCAGGGCCUGCAGAGUUUUCCAUAUCCCCAUGCAAGGUGGAGAGAAUCUGCUUAAGACUAAAUCCAACACAAAGAAAGAAGAGCUGUGAAAUUGUGGUUUGGAGAGAGAAUGAGAGAAAAAUGACAAGAAUGGGCAUAAUUAUUUUGGUACCUGAAUUCAGCUACAUCUGGCCAGCCUGCCUCCAUACUUUUCAGUUUUGUUAUUCAAUAAAAUACUUUUCCCCCCAAUACUAGUUUGAGUUGGCUGUCACUUACCAGAGAAAUAGUUUGUAUUCACACAGAUUUAAAAUGAUGAUCUCUCUACUAACCAUAACAAUCUUUAACCAUAAAUUUUUUUUCAAUUUUUUUAAUGUU